rnacentral:rRNA from 1 species
CCGGGGCUUAACCCCGGGGGUGCAGUGGAUACGGGCAGGCUGGAGGCAGGCAGGGGAGAACGGAAUUCCCGGUGUAGCGGUGAAAUGCGCAGAUAUCGGGAGGAACACCGGUGGCGAAGGCGGUUCUCUGGGCCUGUCCUGACGCUGAGGAGCGAAAGCGUGGGGAGCGAACAGGAUUAGAUACCCUGGUAGUCCACGCCGUAAACGUUGGGCGCUAGGUGUGGGGUCCUUCCACGGAUUCUGUGCCGCAGCUAACGCAUUAAGCGCCCCGCCUGGGGAGUACGGCCGCAAGGCUAAAACUCAAA